GGAAAAUGGUGAUGAAUCACGUAGUCUGCUAAAGCCCGAACAAUUUUAUAAUCAUCUUUCCCUCUAGAGGCAUGAAUUUGGUAUGAUCCAAAACGCAGAAAUGAUUGAGCCACUCUGCAUACAAUUGCACCAGGCUCGUCUUUUGGAUUCCCAUCAUAAAACAUAUCUCGGGUAACAAAUGUUCCUGUGGUCAGAAGACAAAGUGCACGAGUUGUUGGUAUUCCAAGACUGUGCAUUGCUUCACUACAAAGGAACUCCCUGAUGCUACUUCGUAAUACAGCUAAGCCAUCUGCAAACCGACUGUAUGGAGUCUUCCCAGCACCUUUUAGCUGCA
rnacentral:misc_RNA from 1 species